GAUGUUCACGUUGCUAAUUGCCGAGGUCCUCUUCUAGGAUUGGUUGUCCACUCAUAACCAUAAGAUAAUUAAAACGGGGGGGGGCAGGGUAAAAAAAAAACCCUUUUAUCAGCCAUAGGUUAAUGCAAGUGUUUAACAGAUGCUUCGCUAUUAAAAUAUUUCCCCCCAAUACUGAAGAAUCUUAAACCAGCAACCCUAACAGAGAUUGCGAAGAUUUUCAAAGUGGGGCACCUCGAUUUCUCGAAUCUGUGGUGUGGCGAAUAUCCGUGUUCCUCCUGCUUAACUAGCCUGUUUGAAGGCACAGUUCAUUCUCGAGCAAUUCGUCACCUCCUGGGGGUCUUCUCUUCCCGUCUACAGGAGAGUGUGACUUCAGAAAGAACUUCGGAUUGGCCAAGGCCAUUAAAGCUGGUGAGCGACUUGGAAGUCAUUUAGAAAGGAACAGACCUUCAACCUCAAGCCUUUGCGGGCACUGGGAAAGUGUCUUCCCAAUCAAUCUGGCUUGCAGGCGGCAGGACCAACUCUGACCUGGCUUAUCUUGUACCCAUCCUAAAUACACCAAACUCAAGAGGUAGCCAGGGCCGCCUCAACACCGAGGCAGGUCUGAUUCUAUUUAUUCUAAAGACAGAGUUGGAGAUGGGCUACCAUUGGUGUUGAUUGAGAUGACAAGCAGUCACCUGAGCCCAUACAGCUGGGUUCACAGAUGUGGCUAGUCUUGCUAGCCAGCUCGCACUGUGGACAUUCUAGGGAACUGACUGCAGUCCUCAUGCUUGGAGUCAAACACUUUAACCACUGCACACGUUUAUGUAAUAGGAUUGACAUAUGAGAAUCAGAGAAAUGAAUGAAAGAUUAGAGUGGGAGAAAGUGCUUGCUGCCAAGCUUGAUGACCUAAAUUGAAUACCUGGAACCUACACGACAGAAAGAGAGAGCUGACUGCUGAAAGAUGUCCUCAGAUCUUCACAUGUGCACAGUGGCACCUAUCCAACCAUGCACAUAGUAUAUUAAAAAUUAUUUUUUAAAAAAUCCAG
rnacentral:lncRNA from 1 species